CAGUAGCCGCGGUAAUACGAAGGUCCCGAGCGUUGUUCGGAAUCACUGGGCGUAAAGGGAGCGUAGGCGGCGUGGUAAGUCAGAUGUGAAAUCCCGGGGCUCAACCCCGGAACUGCCUUUGAAACUAGAUAGCUUGAAUCUUGGAGAGGCGAGUGGAAUUCCGAGUGUAGAGGUGAAAUUCGUAGAUAUUCGGAAGAACACCAGUGGCGAAGGCGGCUUACUGGCUCAUACUGGACGCUGAGGUGCGAAAGCGUGGGGAGCAAACAGGAUUAGAUACCCCGGUAGUCCCUGUCUCUUAUAC
rnacentral:rRNA from 1 species